rnacentral:lncRNA from 1 species
GGCAUUGGAGUGUAGACUAUAGAAACCACUGCACCUGCAUGUACCGUAUUUCGCUUUCAACCGGGAAAGGUUUAUUGGAAAGGUCCGGACUGGUCUGGGCGCAUUCUCUGAAAUAUAACGGAGAUGCCACGGUUACGCGUAGAAGCCACUCGACGAAGAGACAGUGCCCGUGCUGUGCUGCCAUGACGACCAUGGCCCCUCCCCUCAUGUUUCUCCUCCUGCUCCUUCAAUUGGCUCACAGCUCUUUCCCAGAGGAGCCCGGUCCUCUAAGCUAUGCUCCCUUAGAGGUGGUGAGGAGGUAUCCUGUGUUUGUGGGUAGAGCUCAUCGUUCCUCACAGAGACAGGAGCUGCACAUUCACACAGUGCUCCAGGUGAACCGCACACUCUACAUAGGAGCCAGAGAUGAUCUAUAUAGAGUGGAGCUGGACAAUAUGUCAGGGGACGAAAUAUUCUACAGCAAGGUGCGACACACACACACACACACACACACACGCUAACUGUAUAACCGCACUGGUAUCACAUACACCUGAUUAAAUCAUACCCCAGUGUGAUAACCCUCCGGUCAUGUCAUUUUGUGUUCUUCUGCUAGAAGCGGACGUGGGAAUCCAAUAAGAAUGACAUUCGAGUCUGUAGGAUGAAGGGAAAACAUGAGGUUAGUUCCCGUCCCUGUGUCAGCCGACAUGUGUCAGCCUACACACACCCAACACUCCCAACA